GGGGAGGGAAAUGUCACCCGGCGGGCGCGGUGCUGAGGGACGGAGCGAGGGGACGGAGGGACAGGGAGCGCCGCCGGCUGUCAAGCAGAGCAGUUGCCAAGUGAUCUUCUCCACAGCACCCACGAACUUUGGCCUUACACUGAAGAGGACUCGUCAAAUGCUUUGGGAGAUACAACACGGAAUUGGAAGAGAAGCAUGGAUCUACCUGAAGGGCAGUUCGCUGCAUUCUUGGUGUGUGGAGGAACGGGUCCCGUGCUCACUGUUGUUACUCCCACAUAGGCGGACUCUGUAACUGAUUAUAUGUGGGUAGGGCCCUAUUGAAAUUAAGGAGAUUCUGCAGUAGUGCGGGGUUCUGUUUGUGUGACCCUACUGUGCCUUCUUACUGUGAAUUCUGUCAGUGUAUCAUGGGUUGUGCUGGAACCUGCCUUUUGGGAUAAUGUAAGUUCUGCCUUUCCCCCAAAUGUACUUUAGACGUGAAAUAAUCAUUAAAAAAAAAGUUUUGAAUUAGAAAAUAAAUAUAAUUUACAUGCGUUCUUUUAAUUAUGUUUUUUUGGCAGUACCAAAUAAUAUAUUCCUCAAAACUUCUUAAUGGCACUGAGGCUUUGUGGAUAGUUGGUCACAUGAUGAGAAAAUUCAGCUAUCAUGGACAAGGAUAAAAGUUCACCUAUUUGUGCAAGCAGCGCUGGCACCCUGACUGCACUAUGUGACCCUCCACAUAGGAGGCUGUGUGCCUUCAUUCCAGCACCAGCAAUGCACUUUACCCUUGACUUCCAGCUCCAGCACGUGCUCCUCAGAUUUUUAGAGCAAGUCAAACCACUGAAGGGCUGGGAGUCACUGCCGGAGCUCCUGGAACUACAACCCGCUGAACGCUGAAGCUCUUUUA
rnacentral:lncRNA from 1 species